CUACUAAUUCAGCACAUUCAGAAAUCUGAGGGGCUGGCGGAUAGCGUAGUAGUUGGGUUUGUGUGUUCCACUUCCUAGCCUUGGUUUGCCGGUUCAGAUCCUGGGCAUGGACCUACACACUGCUCAUCAAGCCACGCUGAGGCUGCAUCCCACAUAGAAGAACUAGAAGGACUUACAACUAGGAUAUACAACUAAGUACUGGGGUUUUGAGAAGGAAAAAAAAAAGAGGAAGAUUGGCAACAUAUGUUAGCUCAGGGCCAAUCUUCAAAAAAAGCAAAGAAAUCUGAUAAGGCAGGUGACAUCUCAGCAAAGCCAGGGAGGAGACUAAAGCACAUCAUCUUACCGUGGGAGGAUAUACAUUUCCCUGCAUCCAGAUGAGCGCUGAGCUAACACCCACUGCCAAUCUUUCUCUGUUUUUGCUGAGGAAGAUUGGUCCCGAGCUAACAUCUGUGUCCAUCUUCCUUUGGUUCAUAAGUGGGACGCCUGCCACCGCAUGGCCUGAUAAGUGGUGCAUAGGUCUGCACCCAGGAUCUGAACUGAUCUGAAGGCAGGGUGUAUGCAGACGGUGAGAAUCAGCACGGGAUGGGGGCCGGCAUGGCAUGUGGGCUACGUGGGAUUCCGAAGCACUCCAGCAGCUGACCAAGGACCAGGACAGGGACUGAUGGAGCUGCAGGAGAGAAGAGUACAGGGCACUUUGAGCAGCAAGUGACAGAAAAUCAACCCACACUAGGUUUAAAACAAGAGUGAUUUGUCUGAAGAACACAGAGGCAGCUCCAAAGACCGUCAGCAGGACCCAGAGCCAUUCUGGGGUCUCAGGGACUGGAACUAGGAAUCCAAACAUUGUCAGCAUAUUUUCUCUCUCUCCCUCCCCCCAUCCCUCCUCUGCUCCACUGAGGCUUCAUUCUCUUAAUAGAAGUGGACAUUCUUUGCCCAGCAGGACAAAGUGGCCUUCAGCAAGAGUUAAAGUCACAUCCUGAAAGAUUUGCAACCAGCGAUGUCUUUUCAUCUCUGAAUCUCAGUUGGAAAGAUCCUAGGGAAUGGCUCAGACUGUCUAGGUUUGACUCUUAUGCUCACCUCUUGGACUAUCACUGUGGUUAGGGAGUGGGCUCUCUGAUGACUGAGCCUGUGUCAUGUUUCCUUCUUUGGUCCAGAGUGAGCAGGUCUGUACCUGUGGUGGCUUAGCCCAGACAUGACCACUGGUACAUUUGUUUGUGUUGGCCAGCCCUUAGGACAGGUCCCUGACAGUCACCACCUUGGUCAUUCCUGGUACCCCACUGAGGAAAAGGUAUAGGCAGUUACCAUAAGAACUCCACCCUGGGGGUAUGUGUGUGACCAGGUGUAGUCAGACUGAGUAGGUUCAAAUGUCUGUUCCACCAAUUACUAGACAAACGAUCUUUCUAUGUUUCAGUUUCCUUGUUUAUAAAAUGAAAAUAAAAAUAGUACCAACUUCAUGAAGUUGUUAAUAAGAUUAAAUGACUUAUUAUACGGAAAGCCCUUAGACCAAGCCUGGAAUAUGAAAAAUUAGCUGUCACUAAUACUAACAAAUAUGUCAGUAGAAUAGAACCAUAAAGACAACUCACUAAAUAAGGCCAUGUUUCAUGCUAUUUUCCGUGCCCUUUACAGACCAUGAGGUCUGUGAAGUUACUUUCCAUUUAUCAUCUUCUGCUCUCUGGAAGCUGUCCAGGCUUCCCAAAAGGUGCUCAGUGGGUCUCUGAAGCUACCCUGUGUCUUUCUGGGGCCUCAACCCCAGAGUGAGUGUCUUUCUCCUUUUAUGAUCCAAAAUAGUUUACUUCUCAAAUAAAUAAACUUUUAUUACAGGGUCUUUGUAAGACCUCGGAGAUAAAGCCUCACUUGAAAGCUCACAAUAGGCAAAGCUAUAUAAGCUUUGCUUGGCUGGCUCAACCUGGUCAGGUCCAUAUUUUUGAGCAACCUCCUUCUACCUGCAACAACGGUUCCUCCCACCUUUGGUGGCUUCAUGUCAAUCGGUUUGCCAUCAGACUCUUUUUUACCCAUCACAGGCUUCUAUUCCUAACAGUGCCUUUCUAAGGCUUGGAUUUACUUUCCCUUCGCUUUUUUAAAAUAAAUCUUUCUCUCUGCUUCAUUACACAAACCUCCAUUUGCUCUUAGUCCAACUCAAUUCAGCCAAUACUGUGUGCACUUCUAUUAAAUACCAAUCACUGUGCUUGGCAUGACUCAUUUUAUUUCCUCUUUCUUUUCUCUGCCUUUAAUUCUCUCUUUCUAAGUUUCCUUGAUAGAGGGAACUACAACUUUUGUAUACUUGAAAUAAAAUUCUCUUUGUUGUUGAAAAUAUAUUCAAAAAGAAAUCUUCAUAUAUCAGAACUUCGUAUGAGAGCAAAUUCCAGUUGGGGAUGGUUAUGUGUACUUGACUCUGUCUAUCUCUAUGUCUGUAGUUAGUAUAUUGAUCAUUCCAUAGCAUGAGUUCAUUAUUCACAAUUAAUCCUUUUGUUAAACUUAUAAAGUCCUGAGUUUUGAAGUAAUUUUUCAUAUGCC
rnacentral:lncRNA from 1 species